AGCGAACGCUGGCGGCAGGCCUAACACAUGCAAGUCGAACGGGCACCUUCGGGUGUCAGUGGCAGACGGGUGAGUAACACGUGGGAACGUGCCCUUUGGUUCGGGACAACUCCGGGAAACUGGAGCUAAUACCGGAUACGCCCUUUUGGGGAAAGAUUUAUCGCCAAAGGAUCGGCCCGCGUCUGAUUAGCUAGUUGGUGAGGUAACGGCUCACCAAGGCGACGAUCAGUAGCUGGUCUGAGAGGAUGAUCAGCCACACUGGGACUGAGACGCGGCCCAGCCUCCUACGGGAGGCAGCAGUGGGGAAUAUUGGACAAUGGGCGCAAGACUGAUCCAGCCAUGCCGCGUGAGUGGUGAAGGCCCUAGGGUUGUAAAGCUCUUUUGUCCGGGAUGAUAAUGACAGUACCGGGAGAAUAAGCCCCGGCUAACUCCGUGCCAGCCGCCGCAGUAA
rnacentral:rRNA from 1 species